GUGACAAUGAUGGUGAUUGUGAUCAUGUUGGUAAUGGGGAUGUUGCCAGUGAGGGAAAUGAUCACCCUUUUGCUUCUGUCUGCCCUACCAUCAUCAGAUAGUCCCUACCAUGAGGCCAGCCAUAUACUUUACUUAAAUCUCCAACCCCUGUUUAGACCCUCUUUGCCUCUGACAUGCGCAGAUGGUGCUGGCUGAGCUCCUUAGGGUCUUGAACACGUAAAGGAAAAAGUGUCCUUGGCUAUUGAUUGGCCGGGGCUUCAGCCCAACUUCUGCCAUGGGACAUCCUGUGACCUUCCCUUCUUCCUCCCCCCAUCCCGCCCUCCAAAACAAUGUUUUGCAUCUCUGAGGAUCUCAUAGGAGUGAGUUCAAUUCCCAGCACCCACAUCAAGCAACCGACAACGAAGUGCCUGGAACUCCAGCUCCAGGGAUACGGUGCCCUCUGCUGGCCUCCGUGGGCACUGCACACACUUAAAUCUUAAAAAAGUUUUCUCUUCCAGGUCCAAAGGGAAGAUCUUCCAUCCCUGCCCAGCCAUGACAAGCAUGGACGGUCACGUGACAUUCUUUCAUCAGUGCAUGGGGCUGCUUGUUAAUGCAGCCUUGCCUCGCUAAUGCUGACAGAUACAGGUGCUCACAGAUACCCCUUCCCACCACAAGGAGUCAGACCAGCAGAGAGCAGAGAAGUCUUCCAGCCACUAGCUGUGACCUGUCCAUUUUUCUUGUCUGUCUGUCUGUCUGUCUGCCUGACUGCCUUUCUGCCCUCCUGCUCCUCCUCCUUCUUAUCCUCCUCCUCUUCCUCCUUUUCUUCUUCCUCCUUCUCUCCCUCCUCCUUCUCUCCCUCUUUCUCCUCCUCCCCCUCCUCUUCCUCCCUAUCCUCCCCCUCCUCUCCCUCUCCCUCUGGCCCCCUCCUCUUUCUCCUUCUUCCUCCUCUUUCUCUUCUACCCAUGGGACCUGUGUAUAGUCUG
rnacentral:lncRNA from 1 species